rnacentral:rRNA from 1 species
AGAUUGAACGCUGGCGGCGUGCUUAACACAUGCAAGUCGAGCGGUAACAGGCGUAGCAAUACGUGCUGACGAGCGGCGAACGGGUGAGUAAUGCUUCGGAAUCUGCCUUUUAGUGGGGAAUAACCAGCCGAAAGGUUGGCUAAUACCGCAUACGCCCUUCGGGGGAAAGCGGGGGAUCGCAAGACCUCGCGCUAUUAGAUGAGCCGAAGUCGGAUUAGCUAGUUGGUAGGGUAACGGCCUACCAAGGCGACAAUCCGUAGCUGGUCUGAGAGGACGACCAGCCACACUGGGACUGAGACACGGCCCAGACUCCUACGGGAGGCAGCAGUAGGGAAUCUUGGACAAUGGGCGAAAGCCUGAUCCAGCCAUGCCGCGUGAGUGAAGAAAGGCCUUAGGGUUGUAAAGCUCGUUUUGGCGGGGACGAGUAAUGACGGUACCCGCAGAAUAACGCCCCGGCUAACUUCGUGCCAGCAGCCGC